rnacentral:rRNA from 1 species
GAUGAACGCUGGCGGCGUGCCUAAUACAUGCAAGUAGAACGCUGAAGGAGGAGCUUGCUCUUCUGGAUGAGUUGCGAACGGGUGAGUAACGCGUAGGUAACCUGCCUGGUAGCGGGGGAUAACUAUUGGAAACGAUAGCUAAUACCGCAUGACAACAGUUAUUGCAUGAUAACUGUUUAAAAGGGGCAACUGCUCCACUACCAGAAGGACCUGCGUUGUAUUAGCUAGUUGGUGAGGUAACGGCUCACCAAGGCGACGAUACAUAGCCGACCUGAGAGGGUGAUCGGCCACACUGGGACUGAGACACGGCCCAGACUCCUACGGGAGGCAGCAGUAGGGAAUCUUCGGCAAUGGACGGAAGUCUGACCGAGCAACGCCGCGUGAGUGAAGAAGGUUUUCGGAUCGUAAAGCUCUGUUGUAAGAGAAGAACGAGUGUGAGAGUGGAAAGUUCACACUGUGACGGUAUCUUACCAGAAAGGGACGGCUAACUACGUG